AUCCUGGCUUAGGACGAACGCUGGCGGCGUGCCUAAUACAUGCAAGUCGAACGGUCUUUCUAUGGAAGCUUGCUUCCACUGAGAAGAUAGUGGCGAACGGGUGAGUAACACGUGGGUAACCUGCCCAUAAGAGGGGGAUAACAUCCGGAAACGGGUGCUAAUACCGCAUAGUUUUCUUGAUCGCAUGAUCGGGAAAGGAAAGACGGCCUUUGUGCUGUCGCUUAUGGAUGGACCCGCGGCGUAUUAGUUAGUUGGUGAGGUAACGGCUCACCAAGACGAUGAUACGUAGCCGACCUGAGAGGGUGAUCGGCCACAUUGGGACUGAGACACGGCCCAAACUCCUACGGGAGGCAGCAGUAGGGAAUCUUCCGCAAUGGACGAAAGUCUGACGGAGCAACGCCGCGUGAGUGAAGAAAGGUUUUCGGAUCGUAAAACUCUGUUGUCAGAGAAGAACAAGUUGGAGAGUAACUGCUCCAGCCUUGACGGUAUCUGACCAGAAAGCCACGGCUAACUACGUGCCAGCCGCCGC
rnacentral:rRNA from 1 species